CCUCAAGUCCUCAGACCGACCAGCCCAAGAAACAUCUCACCAAUUUCAAAUCCGAUCUUCUCAGCUUAGCAGCUGAAGACUGACACUGCCCGAUCACCUCAGAAGCCUACAAGACUAUCACAGAUGCUCUAGGUAACUCUCACAGUGGAAAGUAAGUCCGUCCCCUUCUUAAUCAAUACGGAGGCUACCCACUCCACAUUACCUUCUUUUCAAAGGCCUGUUUCCCUUGCCUCCAUAACUGUUGUGCUAUUGACGGCCAGGCUUCUAAACCUCUUAAAACUCCCCAACUCUGGCGCCAACUUAGACAAUACUCCUUUAAGCACUCCUUUUUAGUUAUCCCCACCUGCCCAGUUCCCUUACUAGGCCGAGACACUUUAACUAAAUUAUCUGCUUCCCUGACUAUUCCUGGGCUACAGCCACACCUCAUUGCCACCUUUUCCCCCAGUUCAAAGCCUCCUUCACAUCCUCCCCUUGUAUCUCCCCACCUUAACCCACAAGUAUAAGAUACCUCUACUCCCUCCUUAGUGACCGAUCAUGCAUCCCUUACCAUCUCAUUAAAACCUAAUCACCCUUACCCCGCUCAAUGCCAAUAUCCCAUCCCACAGCACGCUUUGAAAGGAUUAAAGCCUGUUAUCACUCGCCUGCUACAGCAUGGCCUUUUAAAGCCUAUGAACUCUUCUUACCAUUCCCCCAUUUUACCUGUCCUAAAACCAGACAAGCCUUACAAGUUAGUUCAGAAUCUGCACCUUAUCAACCAAAUUGUUCUGCCUAUCCACCCGUGGUGCCAAACCCAUACUCAAUACCUCCCUCUACUACCCAUUAUUCUGUUCUAGAUCUCAAACAUGCUUUCUUUACUAUUCCUUUGCACCCUUCAUCCCAGCCUCUCUUUGCUUUCACUUAGACUGACCCUGACACCCAUUAGGCUCAGCAAAUUACCUGGGCUGUAGUGCC
rnacentral:lncRNA from 1 species